GUGGAGGAGUUUCGUUUAAGUUGCUCCGUGUUUUUCAUGUUUCGUUACCAUUCAAGAGCAAAUCUCGCGCAUUAGAAAUGAUUGCAAACGUUUUCUGCGCCGUGUCAGACGUUCGUCGCGGUGCAAGCGUCGUCUGUAAUCAGCUGGUGGACGCGAAUGUCACAAUUAUUCUGAACCAUUCGGAAGUCCGUUUGCGCGCUAGCGAACAAUGCCCCGCCAUUUUACUGUUGAGAUAUCACGAAGAUGUUGCUGAAUGCGACCAUUGCUUAGUACGUGAUCUUAUAUGAUCGUGAUUAAUCGUGCAACUCAUAUUCAGCGUAGAAGGUCAUCAACCGCGUCUCGUCAACGCUAUCGUCGACUAUUGCAUUCAAAACCUACAGAAGCGAUUGGUGCUUUCGUAUAGGCAGAUCAUGGUCACAUGACUGCCGCCAUUUACAAAUGGCGUGACUUCAUUGGAACAUUCGUGCGGCGUUUUUAAAAUUUUAACAUCGUUUGGUUGGAGCCUUCGCAAACAUGAUAUCUAAAUAUGAUGACAUUUAAACAUGAUGAAAUCAUAAAUUGAAGACAUUCAAGAAAAAUAAUAAUGAAAAGAUAAUCUGUCAUUAAUAUUUAAGAGUAGUUUGGGACAAUAAUGUUGAAAGUUAUACCAUAAAGCAUCAUUAUAAUCAUGUACAGUUGCGAUAGGAAAUAUACAGUUUGUUUAUAUCGGAGCACAUGGAGCAACUUAAAAAUAGAAUCUUUAUUUCAAAUUCUUUUUGUCAUUUUGGAAAGGAUCUUAAAUUUAUAAUAA